rnacentral:rRNA from 1 species
GAUGAACGCUGGCGGCGUGCCUUAUACAUGCAAGUCGAGUGGGUUCAGCCCCACGGCAAACGGGCGAGUACCACGUAGGUACUUUCCUUGUCACAGGAUUAACCCUCCGACAGGAGGGCUAAUACCUGAUGUGAUCGCAACAUUAAAGCGUAUCCGCAAGGGUUACCGGACAUGAAGAGGCCUGCGGCCUAUCAGCUAGUUGGCGGGGUAAAUGCCCACCCAGGCGAUGACGGGUAGCUGGUCUUAUGAGGAUGGUCAGUCACAUGGGCACUGAGACACGGGCCCAACUCCUACGCGAGGCAGCAGGAGGGGAUUUUGCGAAAUGGGCGGAAGCCUGACGCAGCGACGCCGCGGGCGGGAUGAAGGCCUUCGGGUCGGAAACGGCUUUUAUAACGGAAGAACUUUGACGGUACCUUAUGAAUAAGAGGUUGCUAACUCUGUG